rnacentral:lncRNA from 1 species
ACAGUUUCAUGUGUAUGAUUACAUCAAAUCAAAGUCCAUGUAUAAAAUUGCACAUUAGAUUAAAGUUCAUGUGUAGUUUUGAGUUUUAUCCCUUAAAUUUUUUUUAAGUUUAUGAUCUAGCUCUCAUGGAUUGCUAGCCUUCCUUACAUAAGUUGAUGGUAUUGCAGAAUAACAAAAUAUCUGAUACUUCUGCUGCUGAAGCUAGAAGAGGAAAAGACAUCCAGGGAAUACCUUGGGAUCGGCUAAGCAUCACUAGGGAAAAGUAUAGGCAAACUAGGCUAGAGCAGUACAAGAACUAUGAGAAUAUCCCCCACUCUGGAGAAGUCUCCGGGAAGGUAAAAGCACUUAUAAGUUGCCUGCUUUCCUUCUAUAACAGUUCUUGGAUCUAACUAAAAUGUGCUAAAUUGAAAUUUCAAUUUGUAUGUAGGAUUGCAAGAUUACCAAGAAGGGUGCCUCAUACUAUGACUUCAGGCUAAAUUCAAGAUCUGUGAAAUCAACAAUACUUCAUUUUCAGGUUACCUGAAUGGGAGUUUUCAUCCAAGACCCGUGAUGUCAUAGACGGACUUAUCUUUUUCUUGUUAAAAUUCUUUUUCAUAUCUUGUUGUUUCCUUUUUUUACCGCUUUACUGUGAUGUGAUCAUUAUUUUGUUAGUGAUAGACAUAUCCAUUUGUGGUGAUGCAGUUGAGGAACUUGAUAUGGGCUACAUCAAAACAUGAUGUUUAUCUUAUGUCUCGUUUUUCUGUCAUGCAUUGGUCUUCAUUGACACACAAGAAGCGUGAAAUUCUUAAUGUUUCUGGGCAUGUGGCACCAUCCGAGGUCUGCUCUGGCAGUGAUCUGGCACUUUAUCUGACUUGUUGGUCUUUUUCCUUUUCUUUUCUUGUUAUCCUCAGAUUGAUUUGUGUGUUUUUCCCUUUUUAGAAACAUCCUGGAAGUCUGAUGGAAGGUUUUACGCAAACACAAGUCAGUACUCUUGCAGUAAAGGAUAAUCUGCUAGUUGCUGGAGGAUUCCAGGGUGAACUAAUAUGCAAGGUAAGGAAAGCAACUUUUUCCCCUUCAAUCCUUCAUUGACAAAAAAGUGGUCAGAAAGAGGGAUAAGCCUUUGUGCAGUGAUUGUGGAGCUGCUUUUCCAUGCAAUAUAGCUACUUUUCAGUUUUUGCAAGUCACUUGAAGCCUAACAUUUAUAUCUUAACUGUUAUAGAAAAUCUAUUGUUGGACAUAUCUGUCAUGCUGUAAGAUGGAUCUGAGUAAAAAGUUCUAUUAAGCAGUUUAGAGCUAAUGAUUUUCGCGCUCAUUCUGUUUCAGAACUUAUCUACUUGUUUGUCUUGUUUUGAACUACUUACUGCUUAAAACUUUGUGAAUGACAGGUUAAAAAAUGUAUUUGGAUAGUUUCUGUUUUCCCCUUAGCUCUUGGUUGCUGUUUUCCUGAUGCCAGUUAUUUAAGAAAUAAUUAGUUGAUUUUGAUCUGUAAUGUAGCAUUUAGAUCGACGGGGAAUAAGCUUCUGCUCCAGGACAACUUAUGAUGACAAUGCCAUUACUAAUGCUGUUGAGAUUUAUGUCACUCCAAGGUAUUUCUUGUUUCCUGAUCUGCUGGUGGCAUUUAUCUCAGUCAACCUGAACCUAAUUUGCUUUGUUUUUGAAUUACCAGUGGUGCAGUUCACUUUACGGCCUCAAAUAAUGACUGUGGAGUCAGAGAUUUUGAUAUGGAGAAAUUCCAGCUUUCUAAGCAUUUUCAUUUUCUUUGGCCUGUCAAUGUAAGUUCCAUAUAUUGGGAUUGCAUUGUUUCGGAUCUGUAAACAUACACUAAUGUUAUUCUAUGUACCUCUUCGAUUUGCAGUAUGCUAAUUAUUGAUUCUGUUAAUCCAAUAAAGGUACAUGGUGAGAAACACUAAAAGCCAUGCUUGUAAUGUUGCUUUUGCAGCAUACUUCUCUGAGCCCUGAUGGGAAACUUCUAAUAAUAGUUGGAGACAACCCUGAUAUUAUGUUGGUAGACUCUGAUACUGGGAAGGUAUUUGUCUGCCUGCUUUUGCAAUAUUGUUUACAUUUUUGGAGAUUGCAAAGCAUCGGUUGAUACUGAAAUUCAUUGCAGACUGUUAUGCCCUUGCAUGGACACUUGGACUUCUCAUUUGCGUCGGCAUGGCAUCCUGAUGGUGUCACUUUUGCAACCGGGAACCAAGACAAAACAUGCCGAAUUUGGGAUGUUCGAAACUUGUCAAGGUCAAUUGCUGUUCUCAAGGGGAACCUUGGAGCAAUACGGUCCAUUCGCUACACAUCUGAUGGUAAGUACAUGGCCAUGGCUGAGCCUGCUGACUUUGUGCAUGUGUAUGACGUGAAAAGUGGGUAUGAGAAUGAGCAAGAAAUCGAUUUCUUUGGUGAGAUAUCUGGCCUAUCCUUUAGUCCGGACACAGAGUCUCUCUUUAUUGGCGUAUGGGAUCGUACAUAUGGCAGCCUUCUUGAGUAUGGCCGGCGGAGGAACUACUUUUAUCUUCAUUCCCUAAUGUGAGUUGAUUGUGAUGCAGUCAAAACAAGCAUGUUGGUGUAGUUUAUGAUAUUUGAGGAACUUGUAUCAUUACAAGUUGUCGAAGAGGGUUUACUGUAGAUGUAAAUGUAAAAUGAAACGAAUUAUGUAACUUUAGGUGAUUGCUGUUGAAUUAGAAUUUAGUUUUCUGAUGAUAUAAGAUGUUAAUGGGAGAAAGGGUAGAAUUAGAUAGGGUUCUUAAGUUGAACAAAAGUGAAAGACGUGUAUGGUUUCCUUUGCUGGGGAGCUACACACUACAGGUUUUAAAUUUGAAUUUAUGAACGGUGGAUUUGACUCAACUAAGAUUCGUAUACUAGUAUACCCAAAUAUUAUAAAAAAUAGUGAUAUAAUUAGAGGAUGUAUUUUUGUUUACCUCAACCUGUUCAUGUGUCCAGCUGUUGUCAUGGGUUGAAGCUUUAGCUCGGCUAUUCAUACGGCCUUAGAUGCCGCACAAUAAGCUCAACCAACAAUGAUGAAAGGAUAUAGUCAAUACCCAAAGACACACAAGGUUAAAGGCACUUGAGAGAGAAGUUUAACAAGGAGCAAUGAUAAAAGAUAUAGUCGAUUGCAAAAACCACACGCAAGGUUAAAGGCACUUGAUAGAAGAUAACGCAAGGAUAACACUUAAAGGAUAAAGGCACUUAAGAUAGUCAAUGCCAAAAAACACACACAAGGUUAAAGGCACUUGAGAGAGAGAGAGAGAUAACACAAGGAAAACACUUGCGAGAUGAUAAAGGCACACAAGGAAGAUUGUAGGAAAAUGCUUCGGUAUUUGACCGUCAAUGUGCGAACGUCGAACCCGAGGGACAUAAAGUAAUCAAAAUGCUAUGAAUCAAAAUACAUGCAAGGGAAAAACUAUUAAGCUACUAAGGCAACUAUUUAUUACGACAAUGGUAAAGAAAUGAUUUCUUACAAUUCCUAAUAAGAGAAUAAAUGUGCAAAAAUCCAAUUAUCGAAAUUAACAAAUAGGCAACAAUAGUGAUUGGUUAAUUUCCAUGCUAACAGUGAAUUUGUGCAUAAGGGAUUUAAUCACUAAUUUUCUCAUUUAUUAACAUCUCACAUUAAGUAUAUUCAAUAGAUAUUGCUCGUUUGAGCAUGCUUCCAGUAGAACCAGUGAGUAUGGUUCGAUUGAGCAUACUUUCAAUAGAAUCAGUAUCUCAUUUUUUUUUUAAGAUCAUACUAUUAUACAAUAUGAUAUUUAAUAAAAUUAUAUCAACAUAGAAUAUAAAAAUUGUUAGAAGUAUAAAUAAUCGUACAAACUUACAGGAUUGAUUUGUAGUAACGGCUUAGAAUAUCUUAAUCAGUUAGGCUUGUCUCUUCGGAUUAUUAGCUUGACGCUUAUAGAAGAAUCGAAACCUUUUCAUCUUUCAAAGGAAAUCCUGGAGCUCUAGCGAGAUCAUUAAAGUUUCCAUGUGUUGGACCAAAAAAUCUUCUUUGGCUCCUAAAGAUGGUUUGAUUGAUAACAUAGGUUUAACUCAUGAGGAGCCUUUUUCCAAGGCUGAACCUUUCUUAACACCAAUGGUGUUGUUCAAGUAACGUCAGGAAGAGCAACUACUGGAGGAGUGGUACGGGAUGGUACUGGUGAUUGGGUGAUUGGUUAUAAUAGAUUCCUAGGGAAUUGUUCGAUUUUUGACACGGAACUUUGGGGCAUUUUGGAUGGCUUAAAACUCCUCCAACGUAGAGGUCAUAGCAGUGUAGUUAUUCACUUUGAUAGCUUGGAGGUAGUAAAAGCUAUUCAUGGCAAUAUUUCGAAGAUCUCAAACUCUACCCUGAUCAAAAGAAUACAUAGUAUUUUGUCCCAAGAAAGUCAAUGGAUUUAAGAUAUAUCCCAGGGAGGAGAAUCAAUGUGCUGACUAUCUUGCCAAAUUGGCCUUUGAAAGGAAAAAGAAUUUACAACUGGUUGAAACCCUCCAGAUGCAGUGUUAGAUUUCCUUAAUUCAAAUAAAGAAAGGAAUUUUUAUACCUCUCGAAUAUUUCAUGUAAUUUAAUUUUGUUAUGCUUCUUUUCACAAAAAAAAAAAUUGGGAUCGUUUAGUUUUAAGUGGUAAAAUGACUAAAAUACCCUUAAGGUUAAAUCCUUACAAAUAGUUUUAAAAUGGUUCACAAAUCGCUUCCGCAAUAAGAUUAGAAAGUUAUUAGUUAGAAUUGAGGUGUUAUAAGGUUGGAGUGUCUUUUGGGGUGGUUUUGUGCUAGAGAAUCACUUUGGUGGCUAAUGUAUCGGUUCAGAUUCGGGUCGGUCCGUUCCGGUCGGGUUUAGGGUGUCACAAAAUUCACAUCUCAUAAAAUUAUUUCAAAGGAAUAACUCGUCUUAUAUAUAUACUUACCAAAUAAUACAAUGUCUAAAAGCAACGUUUUUAAAUAGUUUAGAUUAUAGAAACACAAAUCGUAAAUUUCAAGCUAUUCCUCGCUGACCUUAUCUUUUUCUUUCUUUUUCAAGGAUUCCGAAACAACGUUAGCUAUGGAUUGAAAUAAUUAAAAUAAAUUAAUAAUACAAAACCCAAUUCACAUUCAAUUACAAAAUUUAUACUAUUUUUGCAUAAAGCUCGAUUUAGUCCCUAAAACUGAAACUAACUUAACUUCCACAUUUAACCUCAAAUUUUUAUACCAAUUUCACUCUAAUCUAAAUUUAGCUCCCUAUUUCUCAGUUCUACCCCAUAAUUUUGAAUUUUCAUAAUUUGGUCUCUAUUAUUUAAAAUCAACAAUUAAAAUCACAAUUGAUAAAAAAACAAUUAACUUCAUAAUUUAGUCCUUUUUCACUUCUAACCUAAAAAUCUAUCAAAUUAAUCCCUAAAGUUUUAACUACUCAAUAAUGGUAACAACUAAAAUCUUAAGCAAUACUGAAAAAUAGUACAUAGGUCAACUAACUUUCGAGUCGUUACAAUUAACUUAAAAUGAUUAAAGAUAUUAAAGAAAAGCAACAAUAAUUAAAUUGAAAUGAGGCGGGGAUGAAAACAUCCAACAUUCAUAGAUAUAGUAAUGUUUUCAAGAUUAUAAAUAUAUAAACGGAGUAGAGUGCGCUGACUAUGGAGCAAUGGUAGAUUUAACAAUAACUACCUGCUCGCUCCAUUGUCAUUCCUAAGCAUAGAUUUAUUACUUUGUAAAUAUAUAUAUAAAUGUAAUUUUGACGUUAAUUAGUAUGGUUUUCACUCAUGCUUCGUAUUGGAUUAAUUAUUAUUUUUUAAUUAAAUUAUAGAAUAGAAAAUUUAAAGGUUACAAUAAGCUCAAAGUUCUUGUACUCUUUGUAUAAUUAAAAUUUAAUCUUCAUACUUCUAUUUUUAUGAAUUUAAUCUCUUUACUUUUUGAAUUUAAAAAUUUAGGUCCAUUUGGAAUAUAUAAAACAUUUAGACUAUCUAAUGGAGGUAGUAAACUAUGUCAAAAUUAAAGUAUAGAAAUUAAAUUUCAAAUUUAAGUGAAAAUAUACUAUUUUUAUAUUAUCUCAAAAAUGUAAAAAUAAAGGGAUUAAAACUGAAAUUUAACCAUUAUCUUCUCGUGUAAGAAAAAUGGAAAAAGGAUAUGUGUCAUGUAAGAAGGCCCUAAGUCACUCCAUUUAUAUGAGUAUAGAUAUUUUGAUCUGCAGAUCGUCGGUAAUCACCUUCCAGUAAGAAUCUCUUACAUUUUAAAAGGUAAACUCUCUCGCUUUUUAUUUUUUAUUUUCUUGUUCGCUUUUGCAUUCUUCGAUCUCGAGUCAGUUUUCUUUAUGUGAUCAUUUCUGUUUAUCUCUUCAUUGGUGCGUACGGAUGUUAAUUACUUUCCUAUAACAUUUUUGGAGUUUGCCCCCUUUCUUUUUAAUUAAUUAUUUUUUUGUUUAUGGAUAACAUUUAUUAUUCUCAACUGAUUGUUCCCUGCUGUUGUUGCAUGAUUGUUAUGAUCCGGGACAUUAAAUUUUGGUUGGAAUUUCAAUUAGGGUUCAUACUAAUGAGCCCAGUUCUUGUUUGUGCCAUUUUUUCCUCUUUUUACCAGUAAUUGCGUGUUUCAUUCAUGGACACAUAAUUCUCAUGUAUAUAAAUUUGAUCAAGAGUUGGCUUUUUUGUUAGGCCCCAAGAUCCAGAAGGAUGAAUAAUUCCGCAAAUGGGAAUGUAAAAUAGAAAGAAAAAAAAAGCUCGAUCUUUUUAUGAGACAAAAGUUCCCAAAUCUGGAGACAAAGUUGUUUUACUCUUGCUUUUCGGAUAUUUCAUGCUUGAAUAAAAACGCAAAUCUCUUAUCUGUCUUAACAUGAUUAUGGCAUAAUUGAAUUGAAAAUGUUGCAAAAAUAACUUCAAAAUGUAGUUAAUUUCUCGAAAUUACUUAUGGCGGCAUUGACUUGUGCACUCUCAGUCUUUAAUUAGUUUAUCUAUAUGCUGAUGGAAGUAUUUCGUACAUGUUGAGAAUUGGCAUAAAACUGUUACUAUUAUAAAGGAUUUGUGAUUCUAUGGGCAUGUUAUUUUAGAUAUUUGUUUCCAUCUCCCUUUCUUUUUCCUUUAGCUGGAUUCCUAUGUAUAAGAGUAGGUUUGAUUUUCUUUGUAAUGUGACUAGGAUGAGGUUUUAGUAUCCUUUACUACCACUUGUACAAUAUCCUUAAAUUAGACUGUUGGAUAAUUUAAUUAUAAUUAAUGUUAAUCCUUUUUAUUGUCUUAAACAUAUCAUUGUUUAUAUUGUAACUUGUAUCAGUUGUUGCGGCAGUACAUGCCAUGUUUCUUUUCCCUAUGAUUUUAAAUGUCGUCAUCUGAUCAAUUUUGAUCAUCUCUUCACCAGUGUACGUAGCACAGAGUUUACUCCUUAGAAAUCAAUGGGAAGAGUAUCUUCCAAUUAAAUUUUGUGUGAUUCUCUAUGGGUAUUUACUUUAUAAUUGUUGGGUUACUAUAGUGCUUGAAGCUACAUUGGUACAGGUGUAGUUUUGUCUGGUGGAAUAUGUCCUAUUACCAAGAAGAUGAUGCUGAAUACAUGGCAGAGGAGUAUGACAUGGAGGACAUAGAUGACAUGGAUGAAGAGUUCUGCGGCAGAGAUAUGUCUGGCUCGGAGUCUGAUGUUGAUGAAUAUGAUUACUCGGUUUGUUUGAUGAUUUACAAGAUGCAAAUUGGACUUAAAUUAAUUCAUUCAUAACUUAGGCAAACGUAAAAAAGUGUUUUUUAUUUUUUAAAAUUGGGAUAAAUCUCAAAACUAUACAUCAACUUUGAACAAAUGUGCAAUGUUAAUACAUAAAAUUUGAUUUUGUGCAAUUUUAUACUUGAAAUUUUCAUUUGAUUCAAUUUUUACAAAUCAUUAACAUAAUUAUAAAUAAAGAGUUACCUGACAAUUAUAUAUUGCAUAUAUAAAUAAUUAUUUUUAUCUAAUAAAUAAAUAAAAUUGAUAUAAUUUUUUUUUAAAAUGUGUACAGUUGAAUCAAAAUCAAAGUUUUAAUUAUACAUUUCAACUUCAAUCAAAGUUUCAUGUGUAUGAUUGUAUCAAAUCAAAGUUCAUGUAUCAAAUUUGCACAUUAGGUUGAAGUUAAUGUGUAGUUUUUGAGAUUUAUCCAUUAAUUUUUUUUUUAAAGUUUCUGUUCUAGUUCUCAUGGAUUGCUAGCCAGCCUAACAUAAGUUGACGGUAUUGCAGAAUAAUAAAAUAUCUGAUACUUCUGCUGCUGAAGCUAGAAGAGGAAAAGACAUCCAGGGAAUACCUUGGGAUCAGCUAAGCAUCACUAGGGAAAAAUACAGGCAAACUAGGCU